rnacentral:rRNA from 1 species
AAAUUGAAGAGUUUGAUCAUGGCUCAGAUUGAACGCUGGCGGCAGGCCUAACACAUGCAAGUCGAACGGUAGCAGAAAGAAGCUUGCUUCUUUGCUGACGAGUGGCGGACGGGUGAGUAAUGUCUGGGAAACUGCCCGAUGGAGGGGGAUAACUACUGGAAACGGUAGCUAAUACCGCAUAACGUCUUCGGACCAAAGAGGGGGACCUUCGGGCCUCUUGCCAUCGGAUGUGCCCAGAUGGGAUUAGCUAGUAGGUGGGGUAA